AGAGUUUGAUCCUGGCUCAGGAUGAACGCUAGCUACAGGCUUAACACAUGCAAGUCGAGGGGAAACGACAUCGAAAGCUUGCUUUUGAUGGGCGUCGACCGGCGCACGGGUGAGUAACGCGUAUCCAACCUGCCCACCACUUGGGGAUAACCUUGCGAAAGUAAGACUAGUACCCAAUGACGUCUCUAGAAGACAUCUGAAAGAGAUUAAAGAUUUAUCGGUGAUGGAUGGGGAUGCGUCUGAUUAGCUUGUUGGCGGGGUAACGCCACAAGGCGACGAUCAGUAGGGGUUCUGAGAGGAAGGUCCCCCANAUUGGAACUGAGACACGGUCCAAACUCCUACGGGAGGCA
rnacentral:rRNA from 1 species